CUGAUGUUUGGGUGGCUACAAGAGAGGGAGAGGCAAUAUGGUUGGCGGCACAAAGGGGGAGGGGCUCAAAACCCUAGCGCCUCCCCUGCUUUUCCUGCCUUCUAUGGACCUGACGGCAAGAAACCCUAGGGUUUCUUGCUCCUGGGGCAUGGAGAAUAGCUGAAGAGAGAGAGAGAGACUUGGGAGAAAGAAUUUUCGUAUUCCUUGGCUUAAUCAAACCUAUACAGUGCAUGUAUAUAUAAACACAGGGUCAAGUGACCCAAACCCAAAACUCCCUUGACCAACUCUAUGGGAGAUUAGGUUAACCAAAGCCCAUGUACACCCAUGACUUGACCUAAUCUCACCUAUCCUAGGCCCAGACCUAGCCCAUAAAGAGUUGGUCCCUUGAGGCCCACAUAACCUAGACCUCAAGAACCCGAAAGGCCCACAGCCUUUCAACCUAGAGCCCAACUAGCCCUAGAGCCUCCAUGAAGCCCUCAUGAAUGAUGG
rnacentral:lncRNA from 1 species